UGGGUGUUUAGAAGUGCAGUAUACUUAAGU
rnacentral:piRNA from 1 species